rnacentral:rRNA from 1 species
UCCAGACUCCUACGGGAGGCAGCAGUGGGGAAUAUUGGACAAUGGGGGGAACCCUGAUCCAGCGACGCCGCGUGAGUGAAGAAGUAUUUCGGUAUGUAAAGCUCUAUCAGCAGGGAAGAAAGAAAUGACGGUACCUGACUAAGAAGCCCCGGCUAACUACGUGCCAGCAGCCGCGGUAAUACGUAGGGGGCAAGCGUUAUCCGGAUUUACUGGGUGUAAAGGGAGCGUAGACGGCGAUGCAAGUCUGAAGUGAAAGGCGGGGGCCCAACCCCCGGACUGCUUUGGAAACUGUAUGGCUGGAGUGCAGGAGAGGUAAGUGGAAUUCCUAGUGUAGCGGUGAAAUGCGUAGAUAUUAGGAGGAACACCAGUGGCGAAGGCGGCUUACUGGACUGAAACUGACGCUGAGGCACGAAAGCGUGGGGAGCGAACAGGAUUAGAUACCCGAGUA